rnacentral:tRNA from 1 species
UCCUUGGUGGCUCAGAUGGUAAAGCGUCUGCCUGCAAUGUGGGAGACCUGGGUUUAAUCCCUAGGUGGGGAA